UGUAACAGAUGCAAACUGUAACACAAGGGCCAUUAACCCUUUCUCUGCCGGGCACACUCAGUCCCCACGCCCCACACCUAUUGUCUCCUGUGCUAGAAGCUUUGCAGAAAACCUGGAAAGUAUUUGCCAAGUCCUAAUUGCUGAAUAUAAUGAAUUGGAACUAGAUGCGAAAAUAGAGCAGGACCUCUCCCCUUGAUGAGUUUUUAUUCCAGCCAUAUAAUUCUCAAUAAAACUUUUCCUGGGCUGGAUAGCAAAGGACACCUUUGGUUACCUGAAUGAACAGGUACAGGGGAAAUUAUUUGGGGGAGGGAAAAAGGAGAGAAAAGCAAGGAGAGAGAGUGUGAGUGUAAGAGAAAGCGAAGAAGCCACUCUUGAGAAAAGCUUGCCAUAAAGGAGCUAAACCCACCUGAAAUUCCUACCCACGGACACCCCUUCUCACUUCAGACUCACAUCCCCACUCAAAAUGAGAAAAUUAGAAAAGGAGGAUGGAGGACGAGCACACCAAAAAGGGAUAAAAAGAGAGAAAAGGGGAGGAAAAAAAACCUACCUGCGAAGUCUUGUUUGUAGUUUUGGCCAGAAAUGGUGAGAAGAAAAAGCAUGAAGAAGCCGCGAAGUGUGGGGGAGAAAAAGGUGGAAGCGAAGAAACAGCUCCCGGAGCAAACUGUACAAAAACCUCGCCAAGAGUGUCGGGAGGCAGGACCGUUAUUCCUGCAGAGCAGGAGAGAGACGAGAGACCCUGAAACACGCGCCACCUAUCUUUGUGGGGAGGGAUAAUUGAAGCGCCCUGAGCGUGAGCAUCAUGUGAAAACGUGAUCGCCAAGUUUCUCUCUGGGAAAGGAUCUGGGAUAGAUUAUACCUUGAAGUCUCCGCAAACGCUUUAGUGGAAGA
rnacentral:lncRNA from 1 species